rnacentral:rRNA from 1 species
CCUUACCUAGGCUUGACAUGUGCGGAAAUCCUCCAGAGAUGGUGGGUCCGUAAGGGUCGCACACAGGUGGUGCAUGGUUGUCGUCAGCUCGUGUCGUGAGAUGUUGGGUUAAGUCCCGCAACGAGCGCAACCCUCGUUCCAUGUUGCCAGCGGAUUAUGCCGGGGACUCAUGGGAGACUGCCGGGGUCAACUCGGAGGAAGGUGGGGAUGACGUCAAAUC